rnacentral:rRNA from 1 species
GACGAACGCUGGCGGCGUGCUUAACACAUGCAAGUCGAACGGAAAGGCCCUGCUUUUGUGGGGUGCUCGAUUGGCGAACGGGUGAGUAACACGUGAGUAUCCUGCCCUUGACUUUGGGAUAACUUCAGGAAACUGGGGCUAAUACCGGAUAGGAUCUCCUGCUGCAUGGUGGGGGUUGGAAAGUUUCGGCGGUUGGGGAUGGACUCGCGGCUUAUCAGCUUGUUGGUGGGGUAGUGGCUUACCAAGGCUUUGACGGGUAGCCGGCCUGAGAGGGUGACCGGCCACAUUGGGACUGAGAUACGGCCCAGACUCCUACGGGAGGCAGCAGUGGGGAAUAUUGCACAAUGGGCGGAAGCCUGAUGCAGCAACGCCGCGUGCGGGAUGACGGCCUUCGGGUUGUAAACCGCUUUCGCCUGUGACGAAGCGUGAGUGACGGUAAUGGGUAAAGAAGCACCGGCUAACUACGUG